GUCGAGCGAGAACCCGCAAGGGGGACAGCGGCAAAAGGGGUAGUAAGGCGUAGGUAACGUACCCUCGGGACGGGGAUAGCCACGGGAAACUGUGGGUAAUACCCGAUGACCUCAUCGGACGUGACUGUCUGGUGAGCAAAGGUGAGAUUCCACCCGGGGAGCGGCUUACGUGGUAUUAGCUAGUUGGUGAGGUAACGGCUCACCAAGGCGAAGAUGCCUAGGGGGUGUGAGAGCACGACCCCCACCAUUGGGACUGAGACACUGCCCAGACACCUACGGGUGGCUGCAGUCGAGAAUCUUCGGCAAUGGGCGAAAGCCUGACCGAGCGACGCCGCGUGCGGGAUGAAGGCCUUCGGGUUGUAAACCGCUGUCAGAGGGGAUGAACUGCGGAGAGGUACUCCUCUCCGUUUGACAGAGCCUCAGAGGAAGCACGGGCUAAGUAUGUGCCAGCAGCCGCGGUAAUACAUACUGUGCGAACGUUAUUCGGAAUCACUGGGCUUAAAGGGUGCGUAGGCGGCUUGCUAAGUAGGGUGUGAAAUCCCCCAGCUCAACUGGGGAACUGCGCUCUAAACUGGCGAGCUGGAGUGAGAUAGGGGUGCAUGGAACUUCCAGUGGAGCGGUGAAAUGUGUUGAUAUUGGAAGGAACGCCGGAGGCGAAAGCGAUGCACUGGAUCUCAACUGACGCUGAGGCACGAAAGCC
rnacentral:rRNA from 1 species